rnacentral:siRNA from 1 species
AGGUGACGUGGCAGCAUACGGUU